ACAUUUUUAGUUUAAUUGGAUAAAACUCUAGUCUUCUAAAUUAGUUAUGUGGGUUCGAGUCCCUCAAAAUGUA
rnacentral:tRNA from 1 species